UACGGGGGGAGCAAGCGUUGUUCGGAUUUACUGGGCGUAAAGGGCGCGUAGGCGGCUCAUGAAGGCUGUGGUGAAAGUCCGGGGCUCAACCUCGGAUCGGCCGUGGCGACUCGUGGGCUGGAGCACUGUAGAGGCGGGUGGAAUUCCGGGUGUAGCGGUGGAAUGCGUAGAGAUCCGGAAGAACACCAGUGGCGAAGGCGGCCCGCUGGGCAGUGGCUGACGCUGAGGCGCGACAGCGUGGGGAGCAAACAGG
rnacentral:rRNA from 1 species